AUUGAACGCUGGCGGCAGGCCUAACACAUGCAAGUCGGGCGCGCGGCGGACGGGUGAGUAAUGUAUGGGGACUGCCUUAUGGAGGGGGAUAACUUCUGGACACGGUAGCUUAUCCCGCACACUCUCAUGUAACCCAUUUGGGACUCGCUUGUAGGUGAGGUAACGGCACACCUUGGCGACGAUCCCUAGCUGGUCUGAGAGGAGGAGCAGCCACACUGGAACUGAGACACGGGCCAGACUCCUACGGAGGCAGCAGUGGGGAAUAGUGCACAAUGGGCGCAAGCCUGAUGCAGCCAUGCCGCGUGUAUGAAGAAGGCCUUCGGGUUGUAAAGGACUUUCAGUCGGGAGGCGUUACCUGCAGAAGAAGCACCGGAUAACACCGUGCCAGCAGCCGCGGUAAUUC
rnacentral:rRNA from 1 species